rnacentral:rRNA from 1 species
UGGGGAAUAUCGGACAAUGGGGGCAACCCUGAUCCAGCAAUGCCGCGUGAGUGAAGAAGGCCUUCGGGUUGUAAAGCUCUUUUGUCAGGGAAGAAACACCGGCUCUAACACAGUCCGGGAAUGACGGUACCUGAGGAAUAAGCACCGGCUAACUACGUGCCAGCAGCCGCGGUAAUACGUAGGGUGCAAGCGUUAAUCGGAAUUACUGGGCGUAAAGCGUGCGCAGGCGGUUAUACAAGACAGGCGUGAAAUCCCCGGGCUUAACCUGGGAAUGGCGCCUGUGACUGUAUAGCUAGAGUGCGGUAGGGGAGAUGGGAAUUCCUGGUGUAGCGGUGGAAUGCGCAGAUAUCAGGAGGAAUACCAAUGGCGAAGGCAGCCCCCUGGGAUAACACUGACGCUCAUGCACGAAAGCGUGGGGAGCAAACAGGAUUAGAUACCCUGGUAGUCCACGCCCUAAACGAUGCUGACUAGUUGUUCGGGAUUUACAUCCUGAGUAACGUAGCUAACGCGUGAAGUCAGCCGCCUGGGGAGUACGGUCGCAAGAUUA